AAGAGACAGCAGCCGCCACGGUAAUACAGAGGGUGCGAGCGUUAAUCGGAUUUACUGGGCGUAAAGCGUGCGUAGGCGGCUUCUUAAGUCGGAUGUGAAAUCCCUGAGCUUAACUUAGGAAUUGCAUUCGAUACUGGGAAGCUAGAGUAUGGGAGAGGAUGGUAGAAUUCCAGGUGUAGCGGUGAAAUGCGUAGAGAUCUGGAGGAAUACCGAUGGCGAAGGCAGCCAUCUGGCCUAAUACUGACGCUGAGGUACGAAAGCAUGGGGAGCAAACAGGAUUAGAUACCCCGGUAGUCCCUGUCUCUUAUAC
rnacentral:rRNA from 1 species